UAAUAGUAACGAAAAACUGCUUACGCAUGCGCAGCCUGACAACACGUAUUCGUUCGAAACUCGAAAGGUCAAUGCACGUAUGUUGGACCGGAGCAGGGAAAGCAACGCUCAGUGCCGAAGUUGGAAGAAACGAACGACCUUUGGUCCCAAGAGAAGAGAAGACCGUCAUCUUGAGUUUCAUAAAACCCAGUGGUGGUAGACUUGACACACAGCAAUUCAGGAUCUUCCCUUGAAUUUGAGAGAGAAGGGCUUCAUUUCAAAGACCAUUCUGCAUUCUACAGAGUACCGAGGCUUGGGAGAACAACACAACGGCAUGCAAAUGGGAAUUCUAGAAGUGAUGGAUCAGCAUUUCCAUAUCAAGAUCAUUCUCCAAUGCAAUUGAUGAUGCAGUUGACCUGAAAGUGCAUGGAUAACAUUUAUUAUCCUUUAGAGCAGAGGUGGACAGUGGCUGGAACAAUUGAGCUCCAACCCUAAUCAAACACACCUGCCUUAAUUUUUUUCCUGGAGAUCUUCAUUGAUUUGUUCAGGUAUGUCAGAUUAGGGUUGGAGCUAAAUUCUUCAGAACAGUGAUUCUCCAGGACAGGAGUUGGUCCCUCCUAACCUAGAGGAUAACAAGGACUGUGUACUAUACAGUAUAUUCUUUCUUUCUUUCUUUCUUUCUUUCUUUCUUUCUUUCUUUCUUUCUUUCUUUCUUUCUUUCUUUCUUUCUUUCUUUCUUUCUUUCUUGUCACAGUUAUUUCAGUUUUAUGAUUGUGCUGAAAUUCUUUGGGAACAUACACUGGCAUCAGUUCUACAAAUAUUUGUCAGAUAAUGUGUUUUCAGAUGUUUAAUAUGUUUAAAAUGUAUGUAUUUUCUUUCUUCCAAAGUCACUUUGGAUAAAAGCAUCUGCCUAAUGAAUAAAUGUAAAUGUAAAUGUAGUUUGAUGGAGCUGCUUCUAAGCUGCUUGUAAGAGCCAUCUUGAAUGUAUGCAACAUUAUUUUUCUGUCAAGUGUUUUUGCUCUAUAAUCUAAGGUGAAAUA